UGAUAAUGUUUACUAUUUAUUGAAUAGGCCGUGGGCUAACUGCUUUUCAAGCACUAUCUCUUGGAAUCUUCAUGAUGUCCUCAGAACUGAGGCCCAGCUGUGCCUUCCCUCUGCCAACUGAUAUUCAGAAAGCCAACUUCUAACACUUAUAUGAUUCGUAAUGUUUUGAAACAAGAAAUCUGUUUCUUCGGGGACUGGGGAUGUGGCUCAAGCGGUAGCGUGCUCGCCUGGCAUGCGUGCGGCCUGGGUUCGAUCCUCAGCACCACAUACAAACAAAGAUGUUGUGUCCGCCAAAAACUAAAAAAUAAAUAUUAAAAAAAAAAAAAAAAAAAAAAAGAAAU